UACAUUAACAUUUCGGAGAAAAACCUGCCAUCUUCUCAGUUUCUCAACAGCCUCCAACCAGCUAAGCAGUCAGUGUUGCUACAUCCAUGGAAGAUGGCAUUGUGGAAUCAGUGAGAUGUCAGUGGUGUGCAUCACUCUCAUCCAGCCAUUUCCAGGAAAAAUGCUUUCUGCCAAGGAGCAUAGUUAAAAGCACCUCAGGCCUGCAGCUCAGAAAUAAUAGAAGAUAAUUUUGUCCUGUUCUAGUGUACCUGUACCCUGGUCUCAUUUCAUAGAACCUCACAAAAUCCUAUCAGAGCAAGAAAUGGCUUCCUCUCUUCAGCUGGAAUGUAUAGUAGAUAUUCUGGAACAAGUGAAAGGUUUUGGGUUGUUUUGCAUUUUAUUUUCCAUAUCUGUGUCUUAUUGGUGAACAUGCUAAGAACUGACUCUGUUUUACUUCCCACAUAUGUGUGUAUUUUAGAAUGAUAUGAAGACCCUCCU